GCUAACGCGUUGCGAGCUUCGUCGUGAAUACAGAUGGUGCGAUCGUUAAUCGGAAUGACUGGGCGUAAAUCGUGCGUAGGUUGUUUGUUAAAUGGGAUGUUAAAGCCCCUGUAUCAACCUUGGAACUGCAUCCAAAACUGACGGACUAGAGUAUGGUAGAGGGUGGUGGAAUUUCCGUUGUAGCGGUGAAAUGCGUAGAUAUAGGAAGGAACACCAGUGGCGAAGGCGACCACCUGGACUGAUACUGACACUGAGGGGCGAAAGCGUGGUGAGCAAACAGGAUUAGAUACCCCUGUAGUC
rnacentral:rRNA from 1 species